rnacentral:lncRNA from 1 species
UUUAAAAUAACAAAACAAAAUUAAAAAAUCCUCUUUUUACUAAUUAGAAGAAACGAACCCCUUCAAAGUUCAGACACACAAACAUAACCUUCCUCUCUCUAGAAAUUCCCCCUUCUCUCUAAAAUCACAUUUGUGCUAAAAUUUGCAUGACCCAGCUCUAAAUCUCUCUAAUCAAAAUAUGAAUCAGGUAUGUGUCCAAAUCCCUAAUCUUUUCCUUUUUCUUUUAGGAACGAAAAUUUCAUCUAGAUGCUGUUCAAAUCCACGAUUUUGUGGUGGAAGAAGCUAAAAAAUAUUAAUCUGAAAAAGGAAAGAAGAGGGGUUAAGUGAACAGACCUUAUUGGAAAGGUCAUUAUUGAGGCGCUCAAUAUCAAGUCUUUGACCAAAUUUCUCUCUAAAUUCUUCAAGUGUGGAUUCAAUUUCUGAAUUGGGUAUUCCAAAACCACGAUCCUUGAGCAUUUCGAGCAUAGUUCUGCGCGCAAUUAAGUAUAUGUGGCUCUCAACUCUCAUAGUUGCUAGUGACCCUAAUCCUUUCUUUUUUGUUUAUACCCAUACUAGUUUAUAUAUAAAUUUAUGUUUGGGGGUUUUUAUAAGGAUUUUGUAAGGAAAAAUUUUCAACAUGCAGUUAGGGAUUAUUGUUAUUUCAGUAGUUUUACAUUUGUAUUCUUAGAUUUCAUCUCGAAUUUCUCUGAACUGUUUAAUAUCUACAGGAAUACAAACAAUAUAUGGCACUUAAACAAUAUAUGCUAUCGUUCAAGGAUGGUAUCGACCAAGGAGCAAUUACAAGGCACUUAAUAUUUUAUCUUUUUUGAAAUAUGUAUAUGCGUACAAUUAUAUUACAAUGCAUAAUGAAGUUUAGUUUUGUACAAUGAAUUGACCUUUUUAGUAAUAAAAAUAUUUAUAAUAUUCGGUUUCA